ACAUAUCAGUGGUUUGUUACAUCAACCAUCUCGGGGGUACAAAAUCAACAGUAUUGACAGACCUGGUGAAGGAAUUCUGGCAAUUCUGCCUGGAUCGCAACAUCUUGGUACAAGCAGAAUACAUCCCGGGAAUGUCCAAUGUAGUGGCCGAUUGGAACUCAAGACACCUACAGGAUACCAACGAUUGUAGACUGGAUCCUUAUGUCUUUCUCAGCUUACAGUCACUUUGGGGCCCUCAGGAUAUUGACCUAUUCGCAUCCAACUUGAACUCCCAACUGCCGAAGUUCUUCAGCUGGAGACCAGAUCCAGAAGCCCUGGCGAAGGAUGCAUUAUUACUAUCGUGGCCCAAUACGUGCCACUACGUUUUUCCACUUUUCUCUCUGAUUGCCCAGACGCUGCUACACCUCAGAUGCUUCCAGGCCUCAUUGAUCC